AUAUCUCAGGGAUAUUUGGCUGUGGCAUCUCUUACCUUAUUGAUUAUCAAGUGGGAUUUAGCUGAUCAGGCUGGUUGGGUGGGAAUCUCCCUCCUUCUUUCUUCACUGAUCUACCUGUAUCCCUACUGAAGUUUCAAUGUCAGAAGAAGUUAACUUUCACUUAAAGAGGACUGCUCUCUGGUCAGAGAUGUGUGAAGCUAUACUGACAUGGCUCAAAACAAACAUAAUUUUUAUCCUCUCUCCAGUGUUUCUGGAACUCAGUGAAAUAACAGCAAUUUCCCAUAGUCUGAAGAGGUGGCCAUUGCCAUUCAUC
rnacentral:snRNA from 1 species